rnacentral:lncRNA from 1 species
GAUUUUUGAAUUCACGCCGAUAUUACAGAAAUGUGCCAAGAUCUUAGCAUUAAAUCUUGGGCAGGUCGACGGUAGAGAGAGAAAGUGAGAGAGAAAAAGAGAGGGAGGUUGAGAGAGCGAUCAAAAAUUGGGUUUUUCGUGUUUUAAGGGAAUUAGAAAGCGCUCCCGGGAUAUAAUCUUUGGACAGUAUGGGAAGUGCC